GAUGCAGGCAGUGAACUGUACAUCAUGGAGAGUUUUCAUGACUACAAGAUGGUGAAUAACCGUUCUGUGGUUGAACAAGCUCAUGAGAUACAGUGCAUUGUGAAGGAACUUGAACUCCUUAAAUGUGUUCUACCCGACAAAUUUGUGGCUGGGUGCAUGAUUGCAAAGUUGCCUCCUUCAUGGAGGAAUUUCGCCACAACUCUGAAGCAUAAGAGACAGGAGAUAUCAGUUGAAAAUCUGAUUGCAUCUCUUGAUGUUGAAGAAGAAGCUCGGGCUAAAGAUACCACUGAAAAAGGAGGUGAGGUUCAGCCUACUGCUAACAUGGUGCAGAGGUACCCACAGAACAAGAACAAAGGGAAGAACAAACCUGUUUUCAACAAGCCUACCAAGACUACUACCUUCAAGAAGAAUAAGUUCAACAAGGCUGAGCUAGAGUGCUACGCCUGUGGGAAGCCUGGACACUUUUCCAAGGAAUGCCCUGAACGUGCAGACCGCAGAGGGAAAACAAGCUCCAAGACUGUCAACAUGGUGACCGCUAGCAAUACUGAUGGGUAUGGUAAUUUACCUAUUGUGCUUUUAGUAUUUCAAUCAUCUUCGUGGUGGAUUGAUUCGGGUGCUAACGUUCAUGUGUGUGCUGACAUCUCCUUGUUUACUUCUUAUCAGGUCGCAAGGGAUUCUUCCGUCCUAAUGGGGAAUGGGUCACAUGCUUCUGUUCGUGGCAUUGGCACGGUGGAUCUGAAGUUUACUUCGGAAAAGAUCGUGCAACUAAGGAAUGUGCAGCAUGUCCCUACUAUGAACAAGAAUCUAGUUAGCGGCUCCCUUCUAUGUCGAGAUGGAUUUAAGGUAGUUUUAGAGUCCAAUAAAGUAAUCGUGUCAAGAUUUGGACAAUUUAUAGGAAAAGGCUAUGAGUGCGGAGGCUUGUUCCGCUUUUCUCUUUCAGAUUUUUGCAAUAAGUCAAUAAACCAAAUUUGUGCUAAUGUUAAUGGUGAUGCAAGUAUUUGG
rnacentral:rRNA from 1 species